rnacentral:rRNA from 1 species
GAUGAACGCUAGCGAUAGGCCUAACACAUGCAAGUCGAGGGGCAGCACAUGAGUAGCAAUACGAGUGGUGGCGACCGGCGCACGGGUGAGUAACACGUAUGCAACCUACCUCUAACGAGGGGAUAACCCGUUGAAAGACGGACUAAUACCCCAUAAUACAGGGGCUCCGCAUGGAGAUAUUUGGUUAAAGAUUUUAUCGGUUAGAGAUGGGCAUGCGUUCCAUUAGCUAGUUGGUGAGGUAACGGCUCACCAAGGCGACGAUGGAUAGGGGAACUGAGAGGUUUAUCCCCCACACUGGAACUGAGACACGGUCCAGACUCCUACGGGAGGCAGCAGUGAGGAAUAUUGGUCAAUGGAGGCAACUCUGAACCAGCCAAGUCGCGUGAAGGAUGAAGGUCUUAUGGAUUGUAAACUUCUUUUGCAGGGGAAUAAAUAGCGGUACGUGUACCGUUUUGCAUGUACCCUGCGAAUAAGGAUCGGCUAACUCCGUG